UGGAAGUACCCUGCCGUAACAAGGUCUCCGUUGGUGAACCAGCGGAGGGAUCAUUGCUGGAACGCGCCCCAGGCGCACCCAGAAACCCUUUGUGAACUUAUACCUUACUGUUGCCUCGGCGCAUGCCGGCCCCCUCGGGGGCCCCUCUCCGGAGGAGCAGGCACGCCGGCGGCCAACCUAACUCUUGUUUUUACACUGAAACUCUGAGAAUAAAACAUAAAUGAAUCAAAACUUUCAACAACGGAUCUCUUGGUUCUGGCAUCGAUGAAGAACGCAGCGAAAUGCGAUAAGUAAUGUGAAUUGCAGAAUUCAGUGAAUCAUCGAAUCUUUGAACGCACAUUGCGCCCUCUGGUAUUCCGGAGGGCAUGCCUGUUCGAGCGUCAUUUCAACCCUCAAGCCUGGCUUGGUGAUGGGGCACUGCUUUUACCCAAAAGCAGGCCCUGAAAUUCAGUGGCGAGCUCGCCAGGACCCCGAGCGCAGUAGUUAAACCCUCGCUCUGGAAGGCCCUGGCGGUGCCCUGCCGUUAAACCCCCAACUUUUGAAAAUUUGACCUCGGAUCA
rnacentral:rRNA from 1 species